GACGAACGCUGGCGGCGUGCUUAACACAUGCAAGUCGAACGGAAAGGCCCUGCUUUUGUGGGGUGCUCGAGUGGCGAACGGGUGAGUAACACGUGAGUAACCUGCCCUUGACUUUGGGAUAACUUCAGGAAACUGGGGCUAAUACCGGAUAGGAGCUCCUGCUGCAUGGUGGGGGUUGGAAAGUUUCGGCGGUUGGGGAUGGACUCGCGGCUUAUCAGCUUGUUGGUGGGGUAGUGGCUUACCAAGGCUUUGACGGGUAGCCGGCCUGAGAGGGUGACCGGCGACAUUGGGACUGAGGUAGGGACCAGACUCCUACGGGAGGCAGCGGUGGGGAAUAUUGCACAAUGGGCGGAAGCCUGAUGCAGCAACGCCGCGUGCGGGAUGACGGCCUUCGGGUUGUAAACCGCUUUCGCCUGUGACGAAGCGGGAGUGACGGUAAUGAGUAAAGAAGCACCGGCUAACUACGUG
rnacentral:rRNA from 1 species